rnacentral:rRNA from 1 species
ACAUGCCUACAACAUAGUAUUAAUGCACCAGAUCCGAUUAGAACUCUGAAAUUAAGUGCACUCAUGCUAGACUAGUACUAGGAUGGGUGACCAACCAAUAAGUCCUAGUAUUUUACAUGUC